rnacentral:rRNA from 1 species
AGUGAACGCUGGCGGUAGGCCUAACACAUGCAAGUCGAACGGCAGCACAGUAAGCGCUUGCUCUUACGGGUGGCGAGUGGCGGACGGGUGAGGAAUACAUCGGAAUCUACUUUUUCGUGGGGGAUAACGUAGGGAAACUUACGCUAAUACCGCAUACGACCUACGGGUGAAAGCAGGAGAGCUUCGGACCUUGCGCGAUUGAAUGAGCCGAUGUCGGAUUAGCUAGUUGGCGGGGUAAAGGCCCACCAAGGCGACGAUCCGUAGCUGGUCUGAGAGGAUGAUCAGCCACACUGGAACUGAGACACGGUCCAGACUCCUACGGGAGGCAGCAGUGGGGAAUAUUGGACAAUGGGCGCAAGCCUGAUCCAGCCAUACCGCGUGAGUGAAGAAGGCCUUCGGGUUGUAAAGCCCUUUUGUUGGGAAAGAAAAGCAGCAGGUUAAUACCCCGCUGUUCUGACGGUACCCAAAGAAUAAGCACCGGCUAACUUCGUG